rnacentral:misc_RNA from 1 species
GCCGCCGCUGCGACCUACUACUUCAUCUUUUCAGAUAUCCCAAUGCCAAGCAAACGGAAAUCUUCUCCGGCUACAAAGCCAGAGUCUUCAUCCGGCAGUAGGAAGUCGAAGAGACUUGUAGUUGAAAGACCAGAUCCAGUAGUAGCUCAACCAUCUGAUUCCGAUUUUGAACCGGAACCUGUUUUAUCAUCAAAGAAGAAAUCCACGAGACGAACAACAGCUGAAAGUUCAGUGGUAGCUUGUCAAUCGGAAAGCAAUAACAAGAAGUUGAAGAAGCCAACUGUUGAAAAGGCAGAAUCUGGUGUAGCUUCACCAGCUGAUAGAGAUUUCGUAUCUGAGUCUGAUUCGGAGACGCCGAGCAAGAAAUCCACGAGGCGAGCUGCAGUAAAGGUGGAACCUUUGGUGGAUUCUGUAGCUGGGAGUGAUUUUGUGGAAGAGGAAGAAGUAGAUGGAAUGGAGCUAGGGAGUCUGAAGAAGAGCUUGUCGAUUUCACCUUCCAAAAGGAAGCCUAAGAGGGCUGAGAAAGUUAAAGAUGAAGAGUGUGUACUUGCCGGUGACCCUGUUCCGGAUGCAGAAGCUAGACUGAAGUGGCCUCAUCGCUAUAAUAAAGGGAAAGAAAAUGGUACCAAGAGCUUAAAUGGUCAAGAUGAUCCGGACCAGUUAAUUCAAGCUAAGUGCCAUUUUAGUCGAGCAGAUGUUGAUGGUCAGAUAUAUUAUCUCGAGGAUGAUGCACAUGUGAAGGCUGCUGAUGGUGAGGACGAUUACAUUUGCAAGAUUGUUGAAUUCUUUGAAGCAGUUGACGGAGUGCAGUAUUUUACAGCUCAGUGGUUUUACAGAGCUAAGGAUACUGUUAUUAAAAGCCAUGAUCAGUUCAUUGACAAAAAACGUGUAUUCCUUUCUGAAAUCAAGGAUGACAAUCCUCUUGAUUGCCUUGUGACCAAACUAAAGAUUGUUCCUGUGCCCUCAAAUGCAACUUCACAGUUCAAGGAAAAUGUAAAAUCAAAUUGUGAUUUCUACUAUGACAUGAAGUACUUGCUUCCAUACUCUUCCUUCAUUAGCUUGCCUCCUGAUACUACAAGUCCAGUUAGUUCAUCUUCUACUAUAUCAAGUGACAUUGAUGCUGGUGAGGUCAAAGAACACAAUCUGGAAAAGAAGCUCUUGGAUCUAUAUUCAGGAUGUGGAGCAAUGUCCACAGGGUUAUGCUUGGGUGCCAAUAGCAAAGGCGUUAAACUUGUUACUAAAUGGGCUGUUGACCUUAACAAACAUGCAUGUGACAGUUUGAGAUUGAACCACCCUGAGACUCAGGUGAGGAAUGAGUAUGCCAGUGAUUUCCUAUCACUUCUGAAGGAGUGGGUACAGCUCUGUGUCUCUUGUUCCUUGAUAAAAGGCAGUGUUCCUCCACACCCUCAUUUGAAAGUAACAGAUGAAGUUGAUGAAGAUGAAGAAAAUGAUGAUGAAGGUGAAGAUUCUGGUGAUGAUAAAGAAGGUGAAAUUUUUGAGGUCGAAGAACUCCUAGAAGUUUGUUAUGGAGAUCCAAAAGAGAAUAACAAACCUGGACUUUACUUCAAGGUUCGCUGGAGAGGUUAUGGUCCAGAGGAAGACACCUGGGAGCCAAUAGAUGGCUUAAGUGACUGCCCGAAGAAAAUCAGUGAGUUUGUGGUGAAAGGCUUCAAAGCAAAUCUUUUGCCGUUGCCUGGUGAUGUUGAUGUUGUAUGCGGUGGACCACCUUGCCAAGGAAUCAGUGGGUUCAAUCGUUUUAGGAAUAAAGAAAAUCCGAUGCAGGAUCCCAAAAAUAAACAACUUGAUGUCUACAUGGACAUUGUGGAUUUCUUGAAACCCAGGUUUGUAUUAAUGGAGAAUGUGGUGGACCUUGUCAAAUUCUCCAAUGGUUUCCUUGGGCGAUAUGCAUUGAGCAGACUUGUAGGGAUGAACUACCAAGCACGGAUGGGAAUGAUGGCAGCUGGUGCGUAUGGUCUUCCACAAUUUCGUAUGCGUGUUUUCAUGUUUGGAGCUCUUUCAUCAGAGAAGUUGCCACAAUAUCCAUUGCCCACACAUAAAGUUAUUGUGAGGGGUGUUAUUCCCGUAGAAUUUGAGUCAAACACAGUUGCGUAUGAUUCAGUCAGGGAUCUCGAGUUAAAGAAAGAACUCUUUCUUGGUGAUGCACUUUCUGAUCUCCCUUUGGUGGAGAACAAUGAGCCAAGAGAUGAAAUGCCUUACACUGAUGAGCCUAAAUCUGAUUUCCAGCAUUUUAUAAGAAUGGGGAGGGAUGGGUUGUUGGGAAGCGUACUAUAUGAUCAUCGUCCUCUUCAGUUGAACGAAGAUGAUCAUCAGCGUGUAUGUCAAAUUCCAAAGCGGAAGGGUGCAAACUUCAGGGACUUGCCCGGAGUUCGUGUUCGGCCAGAUAAUAAAGUUGAAUGGGACCCAGACGUGGAGAGAGUAAAGCUACCUUCUGGGAAGCCUUUGGUCCCUGACUAUGCGAUGAGCUUCGUUGGUGGUAGUUCCUCAAAACCAUUUGGUCGUUUGUGGUGGGAU